UUUAGCGUAUGUUUUCUACUUUGAAAUUGAUUUCGUUUAUUGUUUGAAUACAUCUUUUAUAUAUAAAUGGCAACAUGUCUGGAUGGUUGGCGGCAAACUUUGGGGGAUUUCAUUUUUUACUACUGUAUUUUUAAGCACGUAUUCCAAAUAUGUGUGCGUGUGUGUAUUUGUUCCUCGAACACAAAAAAUUCCCUUCGUAAUAUAAUUAUGUAUUUUCCCGUGGGGAAACACCAUCUUCCUAAUAAUGUCAAUGUUUUUUAUACCUGUCAACAAAAAUAUAUUUUUUUUCAACAAGUACAAAUAUAGAUAAUGUGUACCAGCACAUUUUAAUCAAUUUAACGUUUGAUUACGUUGUAUGGGAUGAAUCAAUCCAGAACGAUUUUAUGCGUUCUUAUCAAAAUCGCUUAAUAUUCUAAGUUUCUGAGUCUGUGAUAUGGAUUAAGGUUUAAAGAGAAUUUGGCAUCUAAGUUUCGCGAUACGACAAUUCGCUCUUUUGCUAGUUGUACCCAUGAUACAACAACAAAAUGUUUAGGUUAACUGAGUUAAAUUUUGGACCACUAAGGUCCGGAGAAUGAUAAAAGAAUGCAUGUAGUCGCACUGACAUAGCUGAUGGGACAAUGAAUUGUUAAACCAAUUUUGAAAUUGAAAAUUUUGAAUGAAAAAUUUUUUUUUUUUGAAAAAUCAUUUUUAAAAUUUUGACAUUUCAAUGUUCUCAAGCGUUGAUGCAUCUUCCUGCAUUCUUCUCACAUGGUCCAAAGAUUUUAGUUAUACAGAUAUUCUCAGAAAAAGAUAACCUCUAUAAAACCAGAAGAAAUUGGAGUCGGUAGAAGAUAAACUCUAAAACGAAAGAAAUUUGAACAUGGGGAUGGGAAAAGAGGAUGGACACACUAAAAACUUGAAUGUGCUGUCGAAAUUCCUCCUGUACAUUCGGGAUUUAGAGGAAACAACGUAGGACAACAAAAUUUUUGCAAGCCUAUUGCAAACAUCUUGUGAAACUAAUUGCGAGGGGAUUCAGUUCCAGGACACGCAGCUAAAAAGUCACAAAAUGCACUAAAACCAAUCGGGAAAUACUAACAUGUCGAGUCCGAAACAGGAUUUAUCCCAAACGAUGAUUCAGUUGUGUACAGAAAUGUCACGUAUACCGAUUCUGUUAAGGGAAAGACAAAAGGUUCUCAAAGAUUUAAUGGAUAUUUUGGAAGAUCUACCGCAAAUAAGAAACCGACGAUUUUGAGUAAGUGUGUUUGCACCUUAUUUUUUUUUUUUUUUUUGAAAAGCUGCAUAGCAUUGACCGGGAAGAGAUCCACACAAUGGUACGAAUAAGUCCCGCCAUGUACUACAAUUUUUAUAUAAUUUAUAUACAAAUUCACCUGGAGCUAUUAUAUCUGUAUAGUGUAGAUUGUUUUUAACGUAAGUAUAUUAAUACACUUGAAAUUAUUUGCAAUUUGGCAGGACAUUCUACCAAACUGAUAUUUCACUGUGAUACGUUUCGGUAUAUGAUAACCUUCACACAUAUAUAUAUUUUCAGAUAACUGGCACAUGGUGAAAGUGUUAAAUAUUUGUGUAUGACGUUUAAAAUGGGAGCGUCAACAGUCCGAAGAAUUAUAAAAUAAACAACUGGGAAAUUGUGGAAAAAAAACGUGGCUAAGUAAUGCACAAGAUUUUGAAAAGCAGUGGAAAUUUGGUCAUUGCAUCGGCGCUAUCGACGGAAAAUAAAUCCAUAUUUCAAUUACAAAGGCGUGUACAAUAUUCCUUUAUAAUUUCCAUACAUUAGACACAAACUUCUUUUAAAGGUAUAUUCUCAAUCGUAUUGAUGGCCGUUUAUGAUACCAACUACAGAUUCAGUAUGGAUGAUAUUGGAGUGACGGGGGAAUAUUAAGGAAUUCCAAUAUUAGAUGACGAUGCCUUUCCACUUCGGGAAACCUCAUGCGUCCUUAUCCAGGAACAUUUCAUCCUGCAGAUAGGGAAAAAUUCAAUAUGAGGCUAUCCAGAGCCAGAAGGACCAUAGAAACUACAUUUGGUAUUUUGUAGGCUAGAUGGAGGGUACUGCUAUCUCCAUUAAAUAUGCAUCCCCAACCGCUGAAGAUACUGUGAAAUCAACAGUUAUCAUUCAUAACUUUAAAAGAAGAAACAUUAAGCGACCACCAAUAAUUUAUGAUGACAAUAAGGCAUAACAUAUGUGCCUUGAAAGAUGUAAGAAUCGAUUAUUGGAUCUAAAAGUAGCUAUGAAAAAAAAAACAUCUGCAAGACGUGAACACUACAGUAAGCAACCCUAGUAAUGUGCUCACUCAAAUUCAAAAAGAAGACUACUAGUGGAACGAACAUAUCGC